AAUCAACGCUGGCGGCGUGCCUCAGACAUGCAAGUCGAACGCGAAAUUUCCCUUCGGGGAGAAAGUAGAGUGGCGCACGGGUGAGUAACACGUAGGUAAUUUGCCUUUGGGUGGGGAAUAACUCAGGGAAACUUGAGCUAAUACCGCAUAAUGCAGCGGCUCGACAUCGAGACAGUUGUUAAAGCGGGGGAGUUGGAGCAAUCCGACCUCGCGCCUAAAGAGAAGCCUGCGGCAGAUUAGCUAGUUGGUAAGGUAAGUGGCUUACCAAGGCGACGAUCUGUAACCGGCCUGAGAGGGCGGUCGGUCACACUGACACUGACAUACGGGUCAGACUCCUACGGGAGGCAGCAGUCGGGAA
rnacentral:rRNA from 1 species